rnacentral:misc_RNA from 1 species
GAUGAAGAACGUAGCGAAAUGCGAUAAGUAGUGUGAAUUGCAGAAUUCAGUGAAUCAUCGAAUCUUUGAACGCACAUUGCGCCCCUUGGUAUCCCGAGGGGCAUGCCUGUUCGAGCGUCAUUUCACCACUCAAGCCUGGCUUGGUGUUGGGCGACGUCCUCUUUGGGGACGCGCCUCGAAACGCUCGGCGGCGUGGCACCGGCUUUAAGCGUAGCAGAAGCUUUCGCUUUGGAAGUCGGGGCCCCGUCUGCCGGAAGACCUGCUCGCAAGGUUGACCUCGGAUCAGGCAGGGAUACCCGCUGAACUUAAGCAUAUCAAUAAGCGGAGGA